UUCCCAUUCCCAUUUCCUUUCCAUUCCGUUUCCCAUCCCAUUACCAUUCCCCUUUCCUUUCCCUUUCCCAUUACCAUUGACCAUUGCUUUUCCCAUUUCCUUUCCCAUUACCAUGACCAUUGCCCAUUCCCUUUCCCAUUCCCAUUUCGUUUUCCGUUCCCAUUCCCAUUUUGUUUCCCAUUCCCAUUCCCAUUACAACUCCUUUCCCAUUCCCUUUACAAUUCCCUUUCCCUUUUACUUUCCCAUUCACUAUCCAUUCUAAUUUCCUUUCCCAUUCCCAUUCCCAUUGCAAUUCCUUUUUAGUUUCCCUUUUCCUUUCCCGUUCACAGUCCCAUUCCAACUCCCAUUCCCAUUCCCAUUAUCAUUCCGAAUCACAUUCUCGUUCCCAUUCCUGAUUCCCAUUCCCUUCCCUUUCCCUUUCAGCCUUUCCUAUUGCCAUUCCUAUGCCCAUUACAAUUACUUUACCCUUCGCCCUUCUCAUUCCCAUUGCUUUUCGCUUUUCCUUUACCAUUGCCAUUGCCUUUCUUAUUCCCUUUCCCAUUCCCAUUUCUUUCCAUUCUGUUUCGCAUUCCCAUUACCAUUCCCUUCCCACUCCCAUUCCCAGAUUAAUGUGUUUUUGCUGUUUAUGAUUCAAUGGAUUUUUAUGCGAUUCCAUGAGGCAAGGAUUGGAAGGAAGGGGAGGUUUUGAACCGUACAGAGUUUCUGAUAUAGGAUUUCAGGCUUGUAUGAAUCAGGGUUGUGGCGUAAGUUGAAUUAUGUGGGUGAACAAUAUUACCAAGAUUCUGUGAUGGUGACAUGGAAAGGGCUUGAGCUUCAACCGGUGAACAUUAUCACUAGUUUUACUAUCGUUGAUUUUUCAAAUAACAACUUUUGUAGACAGAUUCCAGAAGUAUUUGGAAAGUUUCAUGCACAUCGUCUCCUCAAUUUUUUCUCAAAACUAUCUGACAGGUUGCAUCCCAUCGUUACUUGGAAAUUUGAUUGCUCUUGAGUCCUCAGACCUUUCUUCAAAUAAGUUUGCUGGGAAAAUCCCGUGGCAGUUGACAAGAUUGAAUUUUCUUCAAGUUCUCAUUUUGUCAACAAACCAGCUUAGCGGACCCAUACCUCAAGACAACCACUUUGAUACGUUCCCAAAUAAGUCAUAUAGUGGGAACUUGGCAUUGUGUGGAUUUCCUUUGUCAAAUAAAUGAGGCACUGAUAAUGAGACCCAGCAACCACUCAACAUCAGAAGAUGAUGCAGAGUCUUGAAAUGGAUUCGGUUGGAAAGUUGUAUUGAUAGGCUUUGGACGUGGAAUUGUGUUUGGAUUAUUCAUGGGAUUAUCUUGUGUUCUCAACAGGAAAGCCUUAGUGGGUUGUAAUGAUGGUUGAAGAUGAACACCCUACAAAAAACGUGGGUGAAGAAGAAAUUAGUGGAUCCAAGAAGUUCUGUUGGGCGAGUAUUGUUGCAAACUAGUGAUGCAAUGUAGGUCUACACUUCAUCUUCUUCAUCUUUAAUUUCUUUUGUUUAAUCAGUGCAAGCAAUCAAUUACUAUGUAGUACAUCCUUAAAUAAUAUGUCAGAAUAGCUAAUUUCUUCAAA